AAUACUCUUUGGCUGGGAUGAUGAGGCAUAAGACAAUCGAGUCAUUUUAGCCUAAAUACAUAGGUAAAAAGCACCAGAGCAGGUUGCUAGUACCAUGGACAGUAUCAGAACGAUAACCUCUUGAACUAAAUGGAUGUGGUAGGCUACACCACGGGAUGCAUCUGCAGACCACUGCCACAUAAAUAAAGAAAGAGGUCAAGGUACUGCAUUAAUAUAACAGAGGAGUAUCAGGUCUCUGUCACUGUCAGCUAUAAGUGCCAAGCUGGCUCCUCAGCCCAGCAGACACUCGCUGUGGUUAGGGUUAAAGCCCUCUUCGCCGGCCAGCUCCUCAAGCAGCUGUUCUGAGUCCUCACAUUCAGGAUCCACGUCCUUCAUGCAGUUCCCCAUCAGCAUGUAGAGGUAGUCCAUACCCUCAACUCUCCUGGGAAGGAGAACAAUAAUGGUAUAGGUACAUUUGUGGAACCCAUAUUAACAUUGGUCUGAUUAUAGACAGAAAAUGUGCAGCCCAGAUUCAUGCUAUUAUUGAAUUAUAGCACUUUGUUGUUAUGACUUGGUAACAUAUUUAUUAUUUGAUCACCUGAUCCUCUGUGUUGUGUUUCCAUGUGUGUGUGGGCUUUUGGUUUUCCCCCUUCCUGUUAUUUUAUCUUUCUGCCUGACCUAUAUUUUUAGGACUACAAAUAUGGCGUUCUGCGGUCACAUCGGCACAACUGAAACUUUCCACAUGCCCCGGCUUAUAAUGGUUUUCACCUCUUUCGAUGCAUUUAUCCUCCCUUUGGAAAAAAGCGGUGAGGGAGCAGAGAGAUCGCCGUGUCUGUACCGGAGUUCCAAGUGCGGG
ensembl:lncRNA